rnacentral:rRNA from 1 species
UGGGGGAUAUUGCACAAUGGGCGAAAGCCUGAUGCAGCGACGCCGCGUGGGGGAUGAAGGUUUUCGGGUUGUAAACCUCUUUCGCUAUCGAACAAGGCCCGCUUAGGGUGGGUUGAGGGUAGGUGGAGAAGAAGCGCCGGCUAACUACGUGCCAGCAGCCGCGGUAAUACGUAGGGCGCGAGCGUUGUCCGGAAUUAUUGGGCGUAAAGGGCUUGUAGGCGGCUUGUUGCGCCUGCUGUGAAAACGCGGGGCUUAACUUCGCGCGUGCGGCGGGUACGGGGAGGCUUGAGGGUGGUAGGGGUGACUGGAAUUCCAGGUGUAGCGGUGGAAUGCGGAGAUAUCUGGAGGAACACCGAUGGCGAAGGCAGGUCACUGGGCCAUUACUGACGCUGAGGAGCGAAAGCAUGGGUAGCGAACAGG